GAUGAACGCUGGCGGCAGGCUUUACACAUGCAAGUCGAGCGAGAAGUUAUUUUUUGAAGCGGAGUGCUUGCACAAUGUUGAUUAAAAUAAAUUCUAGCGGCAAACGGGUGAGUAACACGUAAGAACUUCCCUCUAGUUUGGCAUAGCUAGCCGAAAGGUUAGGUAAUUCCAAAUGUGAACUUCGGUUUAAAGGAGCAAUUCGCUAGAGGCAAGGCUUGCGUCCCAUCAGUUAGUUGGUAAGGUAAUGGCUUACCAAGGCAAAGACGGGUAGCUGGUCUGAGAGGAUGAUCAGCCACACUGGGACUGCGACACGGCCCAGACACCUACGGGUGGCAGCAGUGGGGAAUAUUCGGCAAUGGGGGAAACCCUGACCGAGCCAUGCCGCGUGAAGGAUGAAGGCCCUUGGGUCGUAAACUUCUGUGGAGAAUUACUAUUAUGAAGAGUUCUCUAGAAAGGGGUUGCUAACUCUG
rnacentral:rRNA from 1 species